rnacentral:tRNA from 1 species
GGGAGGAUAGUUCAGUUGGCAGAACAAGCGGCGGUAACCAAUCCGACUGUAUAGUCCUCGGUUCGAGUCCGAGUCCUCCCACUA